CACUAAUGUAAAAUAGUACAGUUGGUUGCGUUUUUUGGAAUGCACACUGUUUUCUUCUUUCUUUUCUUUGUCAUGAACUUUUUUCCUGUCUUGACUUGAAAAGGAGCAGCCUUACCCCAACAUGUUCCUGAGAGUUCUCUCCAAUUCAUCCUUACCUGGUGCCUUGAAAUACUGCAAUUCCUCAAAAGGCCACAGGUAUUUUUGCAAGCCUUCAUGGACUGUGUCAGGAUGGUGGUGACAAGCGAAGGCUCCAGGAGCUGUGCAGGAAGCAAGGGGCUGCUGAGUAUACCCGCUUCAUGAGAGACGCUGGCCUUGGCUUGCUGGGCUCCUCCAUGCCUUCCAUCUUGUCGGCCACUUCUACCAGUGCUGCUGGGUGAUUGGCCUUGGUCUCCAAGUGCACUGAUGUGUGGGUGAUCUUUCUGUAGUAAAGAGAAGUUGCUGCUCUUUAUUAUUUAUUACCUGUGGAAUUUUAUACAGCCAUAGUGAGAACUCAUC
rnacentral:lncRNA from 1 species